ACUUUGAAAAGAGGGUGAAAAGAGCCUGAAACCGUCACGGGGGAAGCGGAUUGCGUUGGAUUGAUGGGCGCUUGUGUGUUCAGCCUUCGGGUGCAUUGGCACAAGUGCUUAUCCGCUGUGAGUUUUCGGGGGUCGAUUUUGGACCCCUGGGGACUGAGGGCUCCCUUCUUUUAGGUGAGGACAGCGGAGUGACGACGCGAUACGACCCGUCUUGAAACACGGACCAAGGAGUCUAGCGCGGGUGCGAGUCGGAGGGUGCAAGCCCGUGGGCGAAGUGAAAGCGAGUUUUAAAAACGAGCAGUUUGGGGCGGCAUAAGAUCGUUGAUCUUAAGACCGACCCGGAGCAGUUGCGCUGGGACCCGAAAGAUGGUGAACUAUGCCGGAGUAGGGCAAAGCCAGAGGAAACUCUGGUGGAGGCUCGUAGCGGUGCUGACGUGCAAAUCGCUCGUCGAACUUGGGUAUAGGGGCGAAAGACUAAUCGAACCAUCUAGUAGCUGGUUCCCUCCGAAGUUUCUCUCAGGAUAGCGGGCCGACAAGUUGUUUUGUGCGGUAAAGCGAAUGAUUAGCGCAUUCGGGGGCGUUUAGCCUUUGGGCGAUUCUCAAACUUUCAAUGCGCAAGGGUGCCGCUGCUUAAUUGAGCGGUACCGGUAAAAACGUCGGCCCUGUGGGCCACUUUUGGUAAGCAGAACUGGCGAUACGGGAUGAACCGUAAGCAAGGUU
rnacentral:rRNA from 1 species